CGGGCUGGCCGGGCGACCGCGUGACCUCCGCCGCGAGGCGACGGGUCCCGAGGAAAGUCCGGGCUCCGCAGAGCAGGGUGGUGGGCAACACCCACCCGGGGUGACCCGCGGGAAAGUGCCACAGAAAUCAGACCGCCUCCGCUCCUCGGAGCGGCGGUAAGGGUGAAACGGUGGGGUAAGAGCCCACCAGUGCGUCGGGUGACCGGCGCAGCUAGGCAAACCCCACCCGGAGCAAGACCAGACAGCACGCGCCCGAGGGCUGCUCGCCCGAGCGUGCGGGUAGGUCGCUGGAGGCUGUCGGCAACGGCAGCCGUAGAUGGAUGGUCGCCCCCUGGCAACAGGGACAGAACCCGGCUUACAGGCCAGCCCGUCCC
rnacentral:RNase_P_RNA from 1 species